rnacentral:tRNA from 1 species
ACUUUUAAAGGAUAAAAGUCAUCCGUUGGUCUUAGGAACCAAAAAAU